UAGGGAAUCUUCCACAAUGGACGCAAGUCUGAUGGAGCAACGCCGCGUGAGUGAAAAAGAUCUUCGGAUCGUAAAACUCUGUUGUUAGAGAAGAACACGAGUGAGAGUAACUGUUCAUUCGAUGACGGUAUCUAACCAGCAAGUCACGGCUAACUACGUGCCAG
rnacentral:rRNA from 1 species